GAUGAAGAACGCAGCGAAAUGCGAUAAGUAAUGUGAAUUGCAGAAUUCAGUGAAUCAUCGAAUCUUUGAACGCACAUUGCGCCCGCCAGUAUUCUGGCGGGCAUGCCUGUUCGAGCGUCAUUUCAACCAUCAAGCCCCGGGCUUGUGUUGGGGACCUGCGGCUGCCGCAGGCCCUGAAAUGCAGUGGCGGGCUCGCUGUCACUCCGAGCGUAGUAGUUACAUCUCGCUCUGGGCGUGCUGCGGGUUCCGGCCGUUAAAAGCCUUAUUUACCCAAGGUUGUCCUCGGAUCAGGUAGGAAGACCCGCUGAACUUAAGCAUAUCAAUAAGCGGAGGA
rnacentral:misc_RNA from 1 species